rnacentral:tRNA from 1 species
AGUUAUUUAUCUAUUGAAAGAAUUAUGUUUUGAAAGCAUAUAUAAGAGGUUAAAAUCCUCUAUUAACUU